GAACGCUAGCUACAGGCUAACACAUGCAAGUCGAGGGGCAGCAUGGGAUAGCUGCUAUUCAGAUGGCGACCGGCGCACGGGUGAGUAACGCGUAUCCAACCUCCUGCCAGUAGGGAACAGCCCGGCGAAAGUCGGAUUAAUGCCCUAUGUUCUUCAAUGCGGACAUCUAAGUUGAAGGAAAGAUUCAUCGCUGGCAGAUGGGGAUGCGUCCGAUUAGCUUGCCGGCGGGGUAACGGCCCACCGGGGCGACGAUCGGUAGGGGUUCUGAGAGGAAGGUCCCCCACACUGGUACUGAGACACGGACCAGACUCCUACGGGAGGCAGCAGUGAGGAAUAUUGGUCAAUGGGCGUAAGCCUGAACCAGCCAAGUAGCGUGCAAGGAUGACGGCCCUACGGGUUGUAAACUGCUUUUAUGCGGGGAUAAAGUGCGGCACGUGUGCCGCUUUGCAGGUACCGCAUGAAUAAGGACCGGCUAAUUCCGUGCCAGCCGCCGC
rnacentral:rRNA from 1 species